rnacentral:misc_RNA from 1 species
UCGCUGGAUCCGGCAUUUUCC